rnacentral:rRNA from 1 species
GACGAACGCUGGCGGCGUGCCUAAUACAUGCAAGUAGAACGCUGAAGGAGGAGCUUGCUUCUCUGGAUGAGUUGCGAACGGGUGAGUAACGCGUAGGUAACCUGCCUGGUAGCGGGGGAUAACUAUUGGAAACGAUAGCUAAUACCGCAUAAGAGUAGAUGUUGCAUGACAUUUGCUUAAAAGGUGCAAUUGCAUCACUACCAGAUGGACCUGCGUUGUAUUAGCUAGUUGGUGGGGUAACGGCUCAACAAGGCGACGAUACAUAGCCGACCUGAGAGGGUGAUCGGCCACACUGGGACUGGGACACGGCCCAGACUCCUACGGGAGGCAGCAGUAGGGAAUCUUCGGCAAUGGACGGAAGUCUGACCGAGCAACGCCGCGUGAGUGAAGAAGGUUUUCGGAUCGUAAAGCUCUGUUGUAAGAGAAGAACGAGUGUGAGAGCGGAAAGUUCACACUGUGACGGUAUCUUACCAGAAAGGGACGGCUAACUACGUG